UACGUAGGGUGCAAGCGUUAAUCGGAAUUACUGGGCGUAAAGCGUGCGCAGGCGGUUGUGCAAGACAGAUGUGAAAUCCCCGGGCUUAACCUGGGAAUUGCAUUUGUGACUGCACGGCUAGAGUGUGUCAGAGGGGGGGUAGAAUUCCACGUGUAGCAGUGAAAUGCGUAGAGAUGUGGAGGAAUACCGAUGGCGAAGGCAGCCCCCUGGGAUAACACUGACGCUCAUGCACGAAAGCGUGGGGACGCAAACAGGA
rnacentral:rRNA from 1 species